GCUGGGAAAUAUCUGAAAGCUUUACUCAACUUCAGAAGAGCAUUAAACCCCUCACAGGGAAGGGGCCUGUUCUUUCCCACGCUAUCAUCCAUCUGGCAAACCUUCCAGCGGAAAGUGCCCGUGGAAAGCAGCCAUGCUGUUCCCCAUGCCCGUGGAACAAGGGCAAUUUGGAAGCUGCAACAAGAGGCCCAAAGAUCAGAAAUGUAGGUGA